GAAUGGCACCAUGGUGACAAUUGGAGCACUUAAGAUAGAGAAGGAGGAAAGAAACAGGCAGCUGGAGAAAAGACGUUGAUGGCAAUACUAUAUUCCUUUUCGAGAAGAGAAAAUCACCUUUUAUCUGUAUAGGCAAAUAUUGACUAUCAGCCAGAAAGUGGAGCCAGUGGUGGGAGUCUUCCUCACUGAGGGAAGGGAAGACACAGGAACCACUUUCUGGGUGGACUUGAUGAUCUUGCCAGUUCCAUCAGCCUUCUUGUAAACACUUCAAUGAUACCCGCAGCAACUGUCUGUCUCAUAUUACGAACAGCAAAACAACCUAGAAGGGAUAUUCAGAGAAGUUCUCAACACACAUGGCUUGCCAGGAAUGCUAUCAAUUUCGGCAGAAUCAGCAGAUUUCAAGAAUUUGAAGCCAUUAUCUGACUUCUUAUAGGAAUUGUGAUCUCUUCUUUUUCGGUUCAACAAACUUGCAAGCAAUGUGAGCCAUGUAACAAAGCCAGCAAUGAUUUACACUGGAUGGCUCAGGAUAACAACCUGACCAAUAAAACCAGCUACUUUCA